CCUACGGGAGGCAGCAGUGGGGAAUCUUGCGCAAUGGGCGAAAGCCUGACGCAGCCAUGCCGCGUGAAUGAUGAAGGUCUUAGGAUUGUAAAAUUCUUUCACCGGGGACGAUAAUGACGGUACCCGGAGAAGAAGCCCCGGCUAACUUCGUGCCAGCAGCCGCGGUAAUACGAAGGGGGCUAGCGUUGCUCGGAAUUACUGGGCGUAAAGGGAGCGUAGGCGGAUAGUUCAGUCAGAGGUGAAAGCCCAGGGCUCAACCUUGGAACUGCCUUUGAUACUGGCUAUCUUGAGUUUGGGAGAGGUAUGUGGAACUCCGAGUGUAGAGGUGAAAUUCGUAGAUAUUCGGAAGAACACCAGUGGCGAAGGCGACAUACUGGCCCAAUACUGACGCUGAGGCUCGAAAGCGUGGGGAGCAAACAGGAUUAGAUACCCUGGUAGUCCACGCUGUAAACGAUGAGUGCUAGUUGUCGGCAUGCAUGCAUGUCGGUGACGCAGCUACGACAUAAGACACNCCGCCGUGGGAGGUACGGUCGCGAAGAGUAAACGUUACGAAGUAAGUUAGAGNGNGAGAGNGCGAGACGACGACGAGGGAGAGG
rnacentral:rRNA from 1 species